AGCCAUUGAGCCAUUGACUGUACAAUCAGGCGGAAAAGUCAAAUGUAUGGAGGAGAAACAAAUUGAAGUGGAUUAAUUAUUUUGACCACUCAAGUUGGUGUUCUUGAAAAAAUGGAAUAUGUUUGGAAAUAUAGAAAGCAAUAUCGGACGACACACGCCAGUUGUGUCACUUGAAGAAAUAAAAACUGACUCGUUUCAAUGGAGUUUGUCUUUGAAACGGAGAUCUGCCAUGUGUCUCGGAAAUGUAAGCAUUGGAUUCAACGCAGUCCUGAAUGCACAAAGGUCUAGAUCGAGCCUAAUAAAUACCG